rnacentral:lncRNA from 1 species
CAUUCUAAAUAUAGCCUAUAUUUUACCUGUCACACCCUGACCAUAGUAUGCUUUGUAUGUUUCUAUGUUUUGUUUGGUCAGGGUGUGAUCUGAGUGGGCAUUCUAUUCUACUCACUCACUCAGUCAUUCACUCACUCACUCACUCACAACAGGUGUUGUAUUCGGUGCAGGUCUCUCUCUACCUGUAAGGUCCUGUUGUAUUCGAUGCAUGUAUGAGUGAGUGAGUGAGUGAGUGAGUGAGUGAGUGAGUGAGUGAGUGAGUGAGUGAAUGAGUGAGUGAGUGAGUGAGUGAGUGAUAGCAGAGAGAGAGAGAGAGAGACAGAGAGCUUUGUCAAUUCGUAUGAAUGAAUAAUCUUGUAAAACAUGUAUAAAUAUAUCUUCUGUUCAAAUCAAUCUCCAUUUAUUUUGUGUCAUAUUAUCAUCCCACAUCAUCAACACACUUAGAUAAUCGCACUGUUCAACAAUAAAUGACUAAAAGAUGUGUACAUUCAUCACAGUCAGUCAACCACUCCUUGGGUGCAUAAUUACCAUAUUUAAUUUAAAUAACUUACAUCAUGAUAACACCUUAAAACGAUGUGUUGCGAUCAUCACAAUAGUCUGAAUACACAAUAUUAAUACAUUCAUUAUACAGAUGUGUAUUUUCAUAAAAGUCAAGGAAUAAAUCUACUGAUGAAAGUAGCAAAAUGAUGAGUAGUUUGUCUUAAGGACAGAUCCUGUUUGUCUUAAGGACAGAUCCGGUUUGUCCUGUUUGUCUUAAGGACAGGUCCUGUUUGUCCCUGUUACAGGUCCUGUUUGUCUUAAGGACAGAUCCUGUUUGUCUUAAGGACAGAUCCUGUUUGUCUUAAGGACAGGUCCUGUUGUCCCUGUUACAGGUCCUGUUUGUCUUAAGGACAGAUCCUGUUUGUCCCUGUUACAGGUCCCUGUUUGUCCCUGUUACAGGUCCUGUUUGUCUUAAGGACAUAUCCUGUUUGUCCCUGUUACAGGUCCUGUUUGUCUUAAGGACAGAUCCUGUUUGUCUUAAGGACAGGUCCUGUUGUCCCUGUUACAGGUCCCUGUUGUCCUUGUUACAGGUCCCGGUUGUCCCUGUUACAGGUCCUGUUUGUCUUAAGGACAGAUCCUGUUUGUCUUAAGGACAGGUCCUGUUGUCCCUGUUACAGGUCCUGUUGUCCUUGUUACAGGUCCCGGUUGUCCCUGUUACAGGUCCUGUUUGUCUUAAGGACAGAUCCUGUUUGUCCCGGUUGUCCCUGUUACAGGUCCUGUUUGUCCCUGUUACAGGUCCUGUUGUCUCUGUUACAGGUCCUGUUUGUCUUAAGGACAGGUCCUGUUGUCCCUGUUACAGGUCCUGUUGUCCCUGUUACAGGUCCUGUUUGUCCCUGUUACAGGUCCUGUUUGUCUUAAGGACAGAUCCUGUUGUCCCUGUUACAGGUCCUGUUUGUCCCUGUU